AGAAUCAACGCUGGCGGCGUGCCUAACACAUGCAAGUCGAACGAGAAAGUGGAGCAAUCCAUGAGUAAAGUGGCGACCGGGUGAGUAACACGUGACUAACCUACCUUUGAGUGGGGGAUAACAUCGGGAAACCGAUGCUAAUACCGCAUAACAUCGCAAGAUCAAAGCAGCAAUGCGCUUAAAGAGGGGGUCGCGGCUGAUUAGCUAGUUGGCGGGGUAACGGCCCACAAGGCGAAGAUCGGUA
rnacentral:rRNA from 1 species